UACAGAGGGUGCAAGCGUUAAUCGGAAUUACUGGGCGUAAAGCGUGCGUAGGCGGUUCGUUAAGUUCGUUGUGAAAGCCCCGGGCUCAACCUGGGAAUGGCAAUGGAAACUGGCGGGCUGGAGUAUGGCAGAGGGGGGUGGAAUUCCGCGUGUAGCAGUGAAAUGCGUAGAGAUGCGGAGGAACACCGAUGGCGAAGGCAGCCCCCUGGGCCAAUACUGACGCUCAGGCACGAAAGCGUGGGGAGCAAACAGG
rnacentral:rRNA from 1 species